UCGCGGGAGAGCGCGGGGCUGCCGGAUACCCGGCGGCACCGCCGCCGAAGGCGCAACCGGCCCCCGGAAACGCUCAGGCACAACGGACCGCGGGGC
rnacentral:ncRNA from 1 species